UCUUGUGUCCGAAGUGUGUGCCUCGUACGUAGGUAGCAAAUUUGGCCGUCGCCCAUUUACUGUACAUAUCCAUUAGGUAGCAAAUUUGGCCGUCGCACUUGUCAUGGGUGGGGACCCAUUUACUGUACAUACAUAUCCAUUAGGUAGGUGGGUUGGGGCCCAUUUACUGUACAUAUCCAUUAGGUAGCAAAUUUGGCCGUCGCACUUGUCGUGGGUGGGGGCCCAUUUACUGUAUAUAUCCAUUAGGUAAGUUGCAUACCGCUAUAUAUUCUUGUUCUCUAUAGAAUUUGUGAUAUUCUGGUAGAUUUUCAUGCAUAAAUAUCAUAUCUUAUAGUAGUUACAGCCAUUUUUAUAAGAAAUUUUCAUGGUGAAAAUAGCAGGUAAAAAAGUGAACUUUAGAUUUGGCCCCUAAUAAAACAGCGAUCAUCAUCUUUG